rnacentral:piRNA from 1 species
UNGGUUCUAUAAUGUAUAGGUAUGAAAUA